rnacentral:rRNA from 1 species
AGUGAACGCUGGCGGUAGGCCUAACACAUGCAAGUCGAACGGCAGCACAGUAAAAGCUUGCUCUUACGGGUGGCGAGUGGCGGACGGGUGAGGAAUACAUCGGAAUCUACUUUUUCGUGGGGGAUAACGUAGGGAAACUUACGCUAAUACCGCAUACGACCUACGGGUGAAAGCAGGGGAUCUUCGGACCUUGCGCGAUUGAAUGAGCCGAUGUCGGAUUAGCUAGUUGGCGGGGUAAAGGCCCACCAAGGCGACGAUCCGUAGCUGGUCUGAGAGGAUGAUCAGCCACACUGGAACUGAGACACGGUCCAGACUCCUACGGGAGGCAGCAGUGGGGAAUAUUGGACAAUGGGCGCAGGCCUGAUCCAGCCAUACCGCGUGGGUGAAGAAGGCCUUCGGGUUGUAAAGCCCUUUUGUUGGGAAAGAAAAGCAGCAGGUUAAUACCCCGCUGUUCUGACGGUACCCAAAGAAUAAGCACCGGCUAACUUCGUG